ACUUUUAUUUUAGGGUGCGCACUAAAUUGGAUACGAUACAGAGAAGUUUAGCAUUGCCCUUGUGCAAGGAUGACACGCAAAUUCGUGAAGCGUUCCACAUUUUU
ensembl:snRNA U6 U6 spliceosomal RNA